UCGGUUCCGGUUCACGUUCGAGGUAGAUGCCCGAGCGACCCGGCGACC
rnacentral:ncRNA from 1 species